CCUCGUUCUUAAUUUUAAACUUUGCCGCUCAUACGUACUUCCGUGAUGCUUCUUCGUUCUACGCUCUUCUUCCCGCAUUCCACAUUUUCGUCUUCUCGUCAUCUGGUCACACCAUUCGCCGUUGAUCGAUUGUUACCGAUAGAUCCCGAUAACUCCCGUUGGGGCGGCGUUGCCACUUGGUGACCCUGGUAUUUCCGUAGUGUGACCCGUCAUGUGCUGCUUUUCCCGAUGUUUUCGCCCAUCGAUUGGCACUAUCGAGUGCCGAUCGACCGCCUUGUGAUCGAGGCGCCCCCUUCCCUAAGCACAUGGUGACUCCGCAAAUGCUGACAACAGAAGGAAUUUUAGCUUAGGACUCUCUUCGGACCCCCCUUCGAUGGACCUAGAUGUCGCGGAUGGCUGCUUUCUCUUCGGGAUUUCGACUUCGGCAUACACAUGGCCCUUUUCCUGGAGGCGGACCAGCACUUGCGGAAGAACUCUCUUUCCGGCCGUCCUUCGACCCACACAUUUCGCCCACAUGAAAUUCUUUUGAUAUGAUGUGAAUCUGAAUCUACAUAUACCUGAAUAUAUCCUAUGUUUUGUGCGCGUUCGUGUGAUCCGUCCUUUUAAAUAAUGUGCUACGUGUUUU